UCAGGUGAAAGUGAAUAGACUUUAGCUACUUGACAUUAACAAGAAUAUGGAAGGAGUUUGUAAAACUCCCAGACUCUAUUACUAGUAGAUGUAAGCAUUCUCUUUCUGUGUGGAGUGUCACACCAACUACUAACUGCAUGAUUGUUUGGAGGCGCAAAAGAUGAUGGAAUAUCAUCAAUCAGCAAAACAGAAGUUUUUGAACUCAUAUCAAGAAAAACUACACCAAAGGAGAGAAGGGGCAGCAGUAUCACUUGAACCACCUCGAAAUGAAAAGAGACUAAAAUUAGAGGAUGAGAGU